GACGAGCCUCACGAACGUUAUUCGGAAUCACUGGGCUUAAAGGGUGCGUAGGCGGUGUGGAAAGUCGGAUGUGAAAUACCUCAGCUUAACUGAGGAACUGCACUCGAUACUUCCAUGCUAGAGUAAGACAGAGGUGAGUGGAACUGAGGGUGGAGCGGUGAAAUGCGUUGAUAUCCUCAGGAACACCGGUGGCGAAGGCGACUCACUGGGUCUUUACUGACGCUGAUGCACGAAAGCUAGGGUAGCAAACGGG
rnacentral:rRNA from 1 species